CAUUAGUAUUGGAGAUUUUGGUUCUUUGAGUAAAUUAGAGUGUUCCAAGCCAACAAGUAAAACCUUUUUACUGCGUUUGAAUACUACAGCAUGGAAUAACAAAAUUGAACAAGUCAGAAUUCUGUUCUUUUUUCUUAUUUUGGCUUAGUUACGAUUAAUAGGAGUAGCUUGGAGGCAUUUGUAUUCAGAUGUCAGAGGUGAAAUUCUUAGAUUUUCUGGAGACAAACAACUGCGAAAGCAUUUGCCUAAAAUACUUCCAUUAAUCAAGAACGAAAGUUAAGGGAGUGAAGACGAUCAGAUACCGUCGUAAUCUUAACCAUAAACUAUGCCGACUAGGUUUUGGAUGAAAGAUUUUUAAAUAAGAAAAUUCCUUUCGGGGAAAUUUCUUAGAUUGCUUCCUUCAGUACCUUAUGAGAAAUCAAAGUCUUUGGGUUCUGGGGCGAGUAUUCGCGCAAGCGAGAAAGUUAAAAGAAUUGACGGAAGGGCACCACCAGGCGUGGAGCUUGCGGCUUAAUUUGACUCAACACGGGGAAACUCACUAGUUUAAGACAAGAGUAGGAUUGACAGAUUAAUAGCUCUUUCUUGAUUUCUUGGAUGGUGAUGCAUGGCCGUUUUUAGUUCGUGAAUAUGAUUUGUCUGGUUAAUUCCGAUAACGAACGAGAUCUUAACCUGCUAAUUAGCGGCGAAUACGUUAUAUUCUUAUGUAAAAUUGAAUAUAGCUGAAUUGCUAUUGAAGAU
rnacentral:rRNA from 1 species